AAAUAGAGGGCUGGGUGUGUGUGUGUGUGUGAGAGUGAGUGAAAGACGUGUGUGUCCAUGGUGAGUCAGCCCUGCGCUAUGGAGGGCCUUUGGCAGGCCUCUCCUUUUGUCUCCAGCUGGGACAGUGUUCCACUCGUUUGCUCCGUUCAGCAGCCUCACCGGCCAGAACAAAACACUUUGUUUCAUCACCACUACGGCUGCCGAAUGGUGCUCACUAGGGAUACACGAUUAAUAUAAAAUAAACAUCCACAUCGCAAGAGGCUGCGAUAUCAUUCUAGAUUCACUAUAGAUGGGUUAGCUGACAACGAAAACGAUGUGCACGCCUCCAUAGUGCAGAAGUCAGCGUGUUGUUGAAAUUCUGGAUGGCCAGAUUGCUAGAAAGAAUAAGAAACGGCCAUGUGGGGAAUCCUUAAAAUUGUCUGGAGCCUGGUGUUGUGGCCACGGAGCUUUCACUCUGAUGGAACUAGGUUGCCGCUGCUGCGCAACAAUGAUGUCCUUCCUCCCAGAGAUGAGCAAGCAUCCCCAGGACUGGACACAACCAGGCAAAACAUAUUUUUGAGAAGAUCAGGACUUUUGCAAUGAAAAGGCCAGACAAUUACACGUCCUGCUCCAAAGAGCAAGAGAGAAAUAUGUUCAGUUUGUUCAUAACUUGAAAAAAAGUCACUCAAACAAUGUCAUGAUAAAAGCCUAGAUACUGUUUUACCUAAGCCCUUGUGUUAAGUUCUCUAAUUUUAGGCUACUACCUUUAGCACUUGGAAGUUAAUAAAGUAUUUUAAUCUUGAAAUAUUUUCA